AAGAGGGGGGUCUGGUAUGGGGAGGCCUCUAACCCUGCUAUCUGACCAGGCUGGGGUCAGGGGCAAGCAGCACCUGGCCAUGCAGGGAAACUGCCACCUUCAGCUCCAUCUGCCCCAGGUUCCCUAAAAUCAGACUCUGUCAUCGGCAAGUGGAGACUGUAACAGACUGGGACCCUCACAUGCCGAUAAGCAGUCAAGAAUAUUUUCUGGGAGCUGGAGAGAUGGGCUCAGCAGUUAAGAACACUGACUGCUCUUCCGGAGGUCCUGUGUUCAAAUCCCAGCAACCACAGGGUAACUCACAACCAUCUGUAAUGAGAUCUGAUGCCCUCUUCGGGUGUGUCUGAAGACAGCUACAGUGUCCUUACAUAUAAUAAAUAAAUAAAUCUUUUUUUUAAA
ensembl:antisense Hnf1aos1 HNF1 homeobox A, opposite strand 1